GACGAACGCUGGCGGCGUGCUUAACACAUGCAAGUCGAACGGAAAGGCCCUGCUUUUGUGGGGUGCUCGAGUGGCGAACGGGUGAGUAACACGUGAGUAACCUGCCCUUGACUUUGGGAUAACUUCAGGAAACUGGGGCUAAUACCGGAUAGGAGCUCCUGCUGCAUGGUGGGGGUUGGAAAGUUUCGGCGGUUGGGGAUGGACUCGCGGCUUAUCAGCUUGUUGGUGGGGUAGUGGCUUACCAAGGCAUUGACGGGUAGCCGGCCUGAGAGCGUGACCGGCCACAUUGGGACUGAGAUACGGCCCAGUCGCCUACCGGAGGCAGCAGUGGGGAAUAUUGCACAGUGGGCGGAAGCCUGAUGCAGCAACGCCCCGUGCGGGAUGACGUCCUUCGGGUUGUAAACCGCUUUCGCCUGUGACGAAGCGGGAGUGACGGUAAUGGGUAAAGAAGCACCGGCUAACUACGUG
rnacentral:rRNA from 1 species